ensembl:lncRNA
CCCGGCUUCAGCUGCUGUCGGGAGGUGGAGGGAAGACGCUCUUCUCGGCCUCUGUCGUGACAGAUCGCGACUGGCCGAGGCGUAGCGGGUCUCCGAGGGGGCGCAACUCGGCCCCACAUGUGCCGCGUUCGGGAUGUGAACCUGAAAGCACCAAGACUGGCCCUGACUUGGCCGGGUGUGAGCAUUAGUGGCGCUGCAUGCAAGCCCCCUUCAGUCUCAGAAUUAGAGAGCUGAAUGCAAAAAUGAGCUGCCAGUUCUUACAAGACAGGACAUUUCUAGAGCCUUGUGCUCUAUGACAUUUUCAAGCCCCAUCGACAGAAAGCCUUUGGGGAAACUGAGGCCAGGAGCAAUUUCAACUGGAGCAUCUGAACCAGGUGUUGUCAUGGGGCUGAGACAAGCAGUGCCCAGACUCCCAGUGCUACGAGCUGCAUGGCUGCCCCAAAGCUACAGCUCCUCCUAACCACAAGGACUUUGGUUGAUGGAGCUGGCGCCAGCGAGUUCCCUGAAGAGUUCAGAAGUCAAGAACUGAGGCAGGUACGGGGAGGGGGGAAACCUGACCCCGGCAGGCGGGGGGUGGGGGGAGGUGGCCAACCGGGCACCAAGCUGGGCAUGGGGCUGCCAGGAGCUGCUGCCUGCUGUAUCCCUAUAGUGUUCCCAGUGUCCCUGCCGUGUCCUUGCUAUGGGGCUGUGGUGAUAAGAGGGCCCCCAGUGAGGGUGUUGAGGUGUCACAGCACCCUGAUGCUGGGAUAUAAUGGGUAGACAGACAUGCAAGAACACAGCUGUGCAAGUGACUGUGGAAAUGUGGGAUUGUGGGGCAGCACAAUGAGCAAAAUACUCAUCUCCCUGCAGGAGAGGAGGAGGAGGCAGGUGCAGGAGGUGGUAGUGACAGUGGUGGGCAUAGAGGCACAACAGAGGCAGGGACAAAGCAGGACACAGCCAGGAGCAGCAGGCACCCCUGCAGCCCUCACCAUGGGGGGAGCAGCUGGAACCAGUUUGUGCCUUGGGCAAUGAGGCCCCAUGGCAAAACCUCACAACACAGGAAGGUAGGCCCCGGCUCUCACCACCUCCUCCUGUGCUUCCCCCUCCAAAGGCAACUCCUUCCAGGCCUGGGCAUCUGUGGGGACCUUCCACCUGUGCCUCCACUCAGGGGUCUGAAAACAGGGGCACCUCCUCCUGCUCAGCUUUUGAGAGGUGCUUAGAUUUGAAAACCCAUCUGCAGAAAGGGGGGAGGCAGAGCUCCACCAGAGCCAUUGCCGUUCUCACUCCUUACCAACUCCAGGACCAAAAGCCUCCUUCUGCCCCACAUUGGGUCCCACUGUUGCUCUUGGGGGAAAUAUUGUCUUCCUGAGUCUCCCCCUCCCUCCACAACAUCUCCACACUGCCCUGCACACACCCAGUGCAGCAGUGCUGCCUUUAUAGGGCCGAGCCGGGUGGUGAAUUUUUUUUCUUUUUAGGCGGGGGGGGGGCCGGGGAAGAAGAAACUCCUUUUCUCGUGUGCUCCUCUCCGCUGUCAUUCACUCGGCUCCUUUCAGCAUGCAGCCAAUGGAGAGUGAGGGCCUGGGAGCAGCAGGCCUUGGGUAGUGUGAUUGAUGGGCGAACAGGACGGAGGGGCUCUCGCACACGCACUCUGCCGCUCUCUGCUCCGCACCGCGGGGCUUCGGCUUCACAUUGCCGGUGGGGGCUUCGGCUCCUGGUCCUCGCGUGUCGGUGAUGGUAUCUUGGGUGGGGGUGUGAGGUGCUAUUGGGGUCAGAGAGUCUC